rnacentral:tRNA from 2 species
GCCUCCGUAGCUCAGGGGAUAGAGCAGCGCACUCCUAACGCGCUGGUCGCAGGUUCGAAUCCUGCCGGGGGCA